rnacentral:misc_RNA from 1 species
GAUGAAGAACGCAGCGAAAUGCGAUAAGUAAUGUGAAUUGCAGAAUUCAGUGAAUCAUCGAAUCUUUGAACGCACAUUGCGCCCCUUGGUAUUCCGGGGGGCAUGCCUGUUCGAGCGUCAUUAUAACCCCUCAAGCUCAGCUUGGUGUUGGGGCCUGCCGACUGGCAGCCCUUAAAAUCAGUGGCGGCGCCAUCUGGCUCUAAGCGUAGUAAUUUCUCUCGCUAUAGAGUCCCGGUGGAUGCUUGCCAGCAACCCCCAACUUUCUAUGGUUGACCUCGGAUCAGGUAGGGAUACCCGCUGAACUUAUGCAUAUCAAUAAGCGGAGGA